CCUACGGGGGGCAGCAGUGAGGAAUAUUGGUCAAUGGGCUUACGCCUGAACCAGCCAAGUCGCGUGAGGGAAGACUGCCCUAUGGGUUGUAAACCUCUUUUGUCAGGGAGCAACGCCGUCUAAGUGUAGCCGGACUGAGAGUACCUGAAGAAAAAGCAUCGGCUAACUCCGUGCCAGCAGCCGCGGUAAUACGGAGGAUGCGAGCGUUAUCCGGAUUGAUUGGGUUUAAAGGGUGCGUAGGCGGAAUGCCAAGUCAGCGGUAAAAUCGCGGGGCUCAACCUCGCUCCGCCGUUGAAACUGGCGUUCUUGAGUGGGCGAGAGGUAUGCGGAAUGCGUGGUGUAGCGGUGAAAUGCAUAGAUAUCACGCAGAACUCCGAUUGCGAAGGCAGCAUACCGGCGCCCAACUGACGCCGAAGCACGAAAGCGUGGGUAUCGAACAGGAUUAGAUACCCUGGUAGUC
rnacentral:rRNA from 1 species